rnacentral:rRNA from 1 species
UAACAACUCACCUGCCGAAGCAACUAGCCCUGAAAAUGGAUGGCGCUCUAGCGUCGUGCCUAUACCGGGCCGUCAACGGCAAAGUGGGCUGGUGCCAGGCCGGUUAACGCCGGCCUGCUCGGCCGUUAAGCCUUGACGAGUAGGAGGCGCGCGGCGGUGUGCGCAGAAGGGUCUGGGCGUGAGCCUGCCUGGAGCCGCCGUCGGUGCAGAUCUUGGUGGUAGUAGCAAAUACUCUAGCGAGGGCCUGGAGGGCUGAUGUGGAGAAGGGUUUCUUGUGAACAGCCGUUGCACAAGAGUCAGUCGACCCUAAGCCCUAGGAGAAAUCCGAUGUUGAUGGGCAGCGAUCAAUCGGCCUGGUUCGUUGUCGCGGUUCGGCGCGGUGCUAUCGCAGCUCGCCGGGCGCGCACGCGGCCUACCGACUGCUCCCGUCGGGCGAAAGGGAAUCCGGUUCCUAUUCCGGAACCCGGCUGCGGAACCGUCACUUCGCGGGCACUCGCCUGCGAGAGCUCGUCGGGGUAACCCAAAAUGACCCGGAGACGCCGGCGGGAGGUCUGGAAAGAGUUGUCUUUUCUUUAUAAGCGUUCGAGUUCCCUGGAAUCCUAUAGCAGGGAGAUAGGGUUUGGAACGCGAAGAGCACCGCAGUUGCGGCGGUGUCCGGACCUUCCCCCCGGACCUUGAAAAUCCGGGUGAGGGCUACGCGGAAAUGUCGCGCCGGCUCGUACCCAUAUCCGCAGCAGGUCUCCAAGGUUAAGAGCCUCUAGUCGAUAGAAUAAUGUAGGUAAGGGAAGUCGGCAAAUU